rnacentral:rRNA from 1 species
AGCGAACGCUGGCGGCGUGCCUAACACAUGCAAGUCGAACGUGAAAAGGGAAACCUGAGUAAAGUGGCGUACGGGUGAGUCACGCGUAGGUAAUCUACCCCAGAAUCUGGAAUAACCUGCCGAAAGGCGGGCUAAUACUGGAUAGAGCGAGGGAACUCGUAAGAGAGUUUUUCGGGAAAGGGAGCCCGCAAGGGCCUUCGUUCUGGGAUGAGCCUGCGUCUCAUUAGCUAGUUGGUAAGGUAACGGCUUACCAAGGCGAUGAUGAGUAGCUGGUCUGAGAGGAUGAUCAGCCACACUGGGACUGAAACACGGUCCAGACUCCUACGGGAGGCAGCAGUGGGGAAUCUUGCGCAAUGGACGAAAGUCUGACGCAGCCACGCCGCGUGAGUGAAGGAGGCCUUCGGGUUGUAAAGCUCUGUCGGAUGGGACGAACAUCUUCAUAGUGAAUAGCUAUGAGGACUGACGGUACCAUCAAAGGAAGCACCGGCUAACUCCGUG